AGUGAACGCUGGCGGUAGGCCUAACACAUGCAAGUCGAACGGCAGCACAGUAAGAGCUUGCUCUUACGGGUGGCGAGUGGCGGACGGGUGAGGAAUACAUCGGAAUCUACUUUUUCGUGGGGGAUAACGUAGGGAAACUUAUGCUAAUACCGCAUACGACCUACGGGUGAAAGCAGGGGAUCUUCGGACCUUGCGCGAUUGAAUGAGCCGAUGUCGGAUUAGCUAGUUGGCGGGGUAAAGGCCCACCAAGGCGACGAUCCGUAGCUGGUCUGAGAGGAUGAUCAGCCACACUGGAACUGAGACACGGUCCAGACUCCUACGGGAGGCAGCAGUGGGGAAUAUUGGACAAUGGGCGCAAGCCUGAUCCAGCCAUACCGCGUGGGUGAAGAAGGCCUUCGGGCUGUAAAGCCCUUUUGUUGGGAAAGAAAAGCAGCAGGUUAAUACCCCGCUGUUCUGACGGUACCCAAAGAAUAAGCACCGGCUAACUUCGUG
rnacentral:rRNA from 1 species